ensembl:rRNA 5S_rRNA 5S ribosomal RNA
UUCUACAGCCAUGCUACCCUGAACAACCAUGAUCCAAUCUGAUCUCAGAAGCUAAGCAGGGUCGGAUGUAGUUAGUACUUGGAUGGGAGACCACGUAGGAAGACCAGGUGCUGUAGGUG